GAUGAACGCUGACAGAAUGCUUAACACAUGCAAGUCUACUUGAAUUUGGGUUUUUUAACUUAGAUUUGGGUGGCGGACGGGUGAGUAACGCGUAAAGAACUUGCCUCACAGCUAGGGACAACAUUUGGAAACGAAUGCUAAUACCUGAUAUUAUGAUUAUAAGGCAUCUUAGAAUUAUGAAAGCUAUAUGCGCUGUGAGAGAGCUUUGCGUCCCAUUAGCUAGUUGGAGAGGUAACGGCUCACCAAGGCGAUGAUGGGUAGCCGGCCUGAGAGGGUGAACGGACACAAGGGGACUGAGACACGGCCCUUACUCCUACGGGAGGCAGCAGUGGGGAAUAUUGGACAAUGGACCAAGAGUCUGAUCCAGCAAUUCUGUGUGCACGAUGACGUUUUUCGGAAUGUAAAGUGCUUUCAGUUGGGAAGAAAAAAAUGACGGUACCAACAGAAGAAGUGACGGCUAAAUACGUG
rnacentral:rRNA from 1 species